rnacentral:rRNA from 1 species
AUGAGUGUGGUGGGGCUCGACGUCGGCAACGACACCCUGGUGGCGGCGGCGGCGCGGCAGCGGGGGAUCGACGUGCUGCUCAACGCCGAGUCCAAGCGCGAGUCGCCCGCCGCCGUCGCCUUCUCCCACAGCGCGCGCCUGCUGGGCGCCCACGCGUCCGGCGCCGCCUCCUCCCACGCCCCCUUCUCCAGCCCCAAGCGCCUCCUCCUCCUCGCCUCCCGCCCCGCCCCCCGCGACCUCCCGCGCCUCCCCUUCCCCGUCGACGCCGCCGGCGGGGCCCGCGUCCACGUCGACCACCUCGGCCGCCGCAUCGCGCUCUCCCCGACCCACAUCCUCGCCAUGCUCCUCGCCUACCUGCGGCAGCUCGCCGAGGACGACCUCGAGGCCCCCGUCGCGGAGUGCGUGAUCUCCGUCCCCUGCUACCUCACGCAGGCGCAGCGCCGCGCCUACGUCGACGCGGCGGCCGUCGCGGGGCUCAGGCCGCUCCGCCUCAUGCACGACCUCGCCGCCACCGCCCUCGGCUACGGCCUCUACCGCUCCGACCUCGGCGUCGCCGGGGGCCCCACCUUCGUCGCCUUCGUCGACGUCGGCCACUCCGACACCCAGGCCGGGGUCGUCGCCUUCGACUCGUCCGGGAUGAAGGUGCUGUCGCACGGCUUCGAUGCGGACCUGGGCGGACGGGACUUUGACGAGGUGCUGUUCGAGCAUUUCGCUGAGGAGUUCAGGGACAGGUAUAAGAUCGAUGUCGUGGGUAAUGGGAAGGCAAGCAUGAGGUUGAGGGCUGCCUGUGAGAAGGCGAAGAAGGUGUUAAGUGCGAACGCUGAGGCGGUGGUGAACAUAGAGUGCCUGAUGGAGGAGAAGGAUGUGAGGGGGAUGAUCCGGAGGGAAGACUUCGAGAAGCUCUGUGCUGAGUUGCUGCAGAGAGUCGUUGAGCCGUGCAAGAAGGCGAUGGCAGAUGCAGGUAUUGGAUUGGAUAGGCUGCAGUCUGUGGAGCUCGUUGGGUCAGGGUCUCGGGUACCUGCUAUUGCUAGAGUUCUGGCCAGAUUCUUUAGAAGGGAGCCUAGUCGCACAAUCAAUGUCAGUGAGUGCGUGGCUCGUGGUUGCGCGUUGCAGUGUGCAAUGCUUAGUCCCACAUUCCGUGUUCGGGAGUAUGAGGUGCAAGAUGUAAUCCCUGCCUCAAUAGGAUUUUGCACAAAUGAAGGCCCAAUAUCAGCAUUGACAAGCAACGCAUUGUUCCGGAGAGGCCAACCCCUUCCUAGUGUUAAGAUAAUUACUUUGCAUAGGAACAGUGGUUUUACUUUGGAUGCUUUUUAUGUGGAUGAGAAUGAACUGCCCCCUGGCACCUCAACACAAAUCGGUAGUUUUGAGAUUGGACCUUUUCAAGCACAUAGUGAAAAAUCUAAAGUAAAAGUAAAAAUCCGGUUAAAUCUCCAUGGACUUAUUUCAGUGGAAUCAGCUGUUUUGAUUGACGAUGAUCAAAGGGAUGCAAAUUCUGCUGACUCUAUGGAACUCGAUUCCAAUGAUAACAUGGAUCACAAGUCGAAAAAUGAACGGCCAAUGCACCGGCAGGACUUGCAAAUUGUUGAGUCUAUUUAUGGUGUAAUGAGCAAGCAGGAAUUGCUGGAAGCUCAAGAGCAAGAACAACAACUGGCCUAUCAGGAUAAACUUGUCGAGCGAACUAAAGAGAGGAAGAACGCAUUGGAAUCCUACGUGUACGACACCCGUAAUAAGCUUUCUGAGAGGUAUCGGAGCUUUGCUACUGAUUCUGAAAGGGAAGAAAUCUCAGUUAAUCUACAGCAGACAGAAGAUUGGCUUUAUGAAGAAGGUGAUGAUGAGACCGAAGCAGUUUACACUAGUAAACUCGAGGAGCUAAAAAAGCUUGUAGAUCCCAUUGAAUAUCGUUGUAAAGAUGAGGAAGCCAGAGCUGAAGCUACAAGAGAGCUUCUGAAGCGCAUUGUUGACCAUAGAAUGGCUGCCAAGUCCUUAUCUGCGCCUGAACGAGACGCUAUUGACAAUGAGUGCACUAAAGUUGAGCAAUGGCUGAGGGAGAGCUCGCAACUACAGGAGUCCUUGCCCAAGAAUGUUGACCCUGUAGUUUGGUCUCAUGAAAUCAAGAAAAAGGAAGAGGAGCUGGACAUGUCAUGUAGCAAAAUAGUAACUAGCAGGGCACGGGGCCAUGACAACGGUGAUGGAUGCUAG